GACGGACGCUGACGGCGUGCUUAACACAUGCAAGUCGAGCGGUAAGGCCCUUUCGGGGGUACACGAGCGGCGAACGGGUGAGUAACACGUGGGUGACCUGCCCUUAGCUCUGGGAUAAGCCUGGGAAACUGGGUCUAAUACCGGAUAUGACUCCAUGACGCAUGUUGUGGGGUGGAAAGCCUUGUGCGGCUAGGGAUGGGCCCGCGGCCUAUCAGCUUGUUGGUGGGGUGAUGGCCACCAAGGCGACGACGGGUAGCCGGCCUGAGAGGGCGACCGGCCACACUGGGACUGAGACACGGCCCAGACUCCUACGGGAGGCAGCAGUGGGGAAUCUUGCGCAAUGGGCGAAAGCCUGACGCAGCGACGCCGCGUGAGGGAUGACGGCCUCGG
rnacentral:rRNA from 1 species